GAAUUCGCCCUUAGAGUUUGAUCCUGGCUCAGGACGAACGCUGGCGGCGUGCCUAAUACAUGCAAGUCGAGCGAGGGAGCUUGCUCCCUAGCGGCGGACGGGUGAGUAACGCGUGGGCAACCUGCCCUUCAGCCUGGAAUAACUGUCGGAAACGAUGGCUAAUACCGGAUGAGGCAACCAAUUCGCAUGGACUGGUUGCUAAAGUUAAGGCGCUGAAGGAUGGGCCCGCGUCCCAUUAGCUAGUUGGUGAGGUAAUGGCCCACCAAGGCGACGAUGGGUAGCCGGCCUGAGAGGGUGAACGGCCACACUGGGACUGAGACACGGCCCAGACUCCUACGGGAGGCAGCAGUAGGGAAUCUUCCACAAUGGGCGAAAGCCUGAUGGAGCGACGCCGCGUGAGGGACGAAGGCCUUCGGGUCGUAAACCUCUGUCCCCAGGGACGAGAGAGGACGGUACCUGGGGAGGAAGCCACGGCUAACUACGUGCCAGCAGCCGCGGUAAUACGUAGGUGGCGAGCGUUGUCCGGAAUUAUUGGGUUUAAAGGGUGCGUAGGCUGUUUUUUAAGUCAGUGGUGAAACCCUACUGCUCAACAGUAGACUUGCCGUUGAUACUGGGAGACUCGAAUACGGUUGCCGUGGGAGGAAUGUGUGGUGUAGCGGUGAAAUGCAUAGAUAUCACACAGAACACCGAUUGCGAAGGCAUCUCACGAAGUCGUUAUUGACGCUGAUGCACGAAAGUGUGGGGAUCAAACAGGAUUAGAUACCCUGGUAGUCCACACUGUAAACUAUGAUAAUUAUUUGCCGGCGAUAGAUUGUCGGUGAUCAAGCGAAAGCGAUAAGUUAUCCACCUGGGGAGUACGGCCGCAAGACUGAAACUCAAAGGAAUUGACGGGGGCCCGCACAAGCGGAGGAACAUGUGGUUUAAUUUGAUGAUACGCGAGGAACCUUACCCAGGCUCGAACGGCAGAGGAAUUGUGAAGAGAUUCACAAGUCUUCGGACUUCUGUCGAGGUGCUGCAUGGUCGUCGUCAGCUCGUGCCGUGAGGUGUCGGCUUAAGUGCCAUAACGAGCGCAACCCUUGUCGCUAGUUGCCAUCAGGUUAAGCUGGGGAGUUUAGCGAGACUGCCUUCGUAAGAUGUGAGGAAGGGGGGGGGGACGUCAAAUCAGCACGGCCCUUACGUCUGGGGCGACACACGUGUUACAAUGGUUGGUACAGAGGGUUGCAUGCUGGUGACAGUUUGCCAAUCUCUAAAUCCAAUCUCAGUUCGGAUUGGAGUGUGCAACUCGACUCCACGAAGUUGGAUUCGCUAGUAAUCGCACAUCAGCCAUGGUGCGGUGAAUACGUUCCCGGGCCUCGUACUCACCGCCCGUCA
rnacentral:rRNA from 1 species